ensembl:lincRNA
CUUGGUAGUGAGUGAGUUCUCACGAGAUCUGAUGGUUUUAUAAGGGGCUUUCCCCUUUCUCUCUGCACUUCUUCUUGCUGCCAUCAUGUGAAGAAGGACAUAUUUGCCUCCCCUUCCGCCAUGAUUGCGAGUUUCCUGAGAUCUCCCCAGCCCUGCAGAACAGUGAGUCAGUUAAACCUCUUUCCUUUAUAAAUUACCCAGUCUUGGGUAUUUCUUCAUAGCAGCAUGAGAACAGACUAAUACACAGCCUUCUACAGGCUUGUGAGAUUUUUGUAGAAGCAGCACAGUGGUGGGUGAUCUGCUGGGCCUGGGGCUAGGGGAGACUGGCUGCACCUUCCUCUGGCUCCCUCUGCCUCCAGGGUGGGCUCCAGGUCUUCUUCAGAGAAUGCUGCUGGAAACUACCCAGCAAGGCCAAGCCCUGAUUUUACAGAUGGGCACGAUAUGUGUCUAAGGCGCUAUGGCCCGCGAGUGACAGAGCGAGGACUACAGCUCAGGUCUUUAGAGCUUUUUGUUUUCCACGCCAGCCACCCCCACUGCCGUCAGAGAUGGAGUCAGGCAGGGAGUGCUAAGAGUCAGAGUGGAAAGGAGGACACUGCACUGAGCACACAGAAGGUUCACCAGCAGGGAUGCUGCCACAGUCUCAGGAGUAAUUUGCAUCAAUUCGAUAAACGUUUAUCUGGAAACAUCCAAGAGUCAGAGGAAGAGGAUCAUUUGGUAACAGCAACGUCAGAAUGAGAAUCGAAAAUUGAGGGACAUGAGCCAAGAGGUGUUUACUGGGACACAGGUAUGGGCAUAGCUGAAGGCCCAGGUGGGGUGGGGGGGACCC